rnacentral:rRNA from 1 species
UAGUAACGGCGAGUGAAGCGGCAACAGCUCAAAUUUGAAAUCUGGCCCUCGGGUCCGAGUUGUAAUUUGUAGAGGAUGCUUUUGGUGAGGUGCCUUCCGAGUUCCCUGGAACGGGACGCCAUAGAGGGUGAGAGCCCCGUCUGGUUGGAUACCGAGCCUCUGUAAAGCUCCUUCGACGAGUCGAGUAGUUUGGGAAUGCUGCUCUAAAUGGGAGGUAUAUGUCUUCUAAAGCUAAAUAUUGGCCAGAGACCGAUAGCGCACAAGUAGAGUGAUCGAAAGAUGAAAAGCACUUUGAAAAGAGAGUUAAAAAGUACGUGAAAUUGUUGAAAGGGAAGCGCUUAUGACCAGACUUGGGCUUGGUUGAUCAUCCUGGGUUCUCCCUGGUGCACUCUUCCAGUUCAGGCCAGCAUCAGUUCGCUGCGGGGGAUAAAAGCUUUGGGAAUGUGGCUCCCUCGGGAGUGUUAUAGCCCAUUGCAUAAUACCCUGCUCCGGACUGAGGU